rnacentral:ncRNA from 2 species
ACAUUACACUAGGGGUGUUCUUAGAAGAACUGAGAUACGCUUGAGCAGCGUGAUCCCUUUGAACCUGUAAGUUGAUACUUGCGAAGGAAAGUGUUUGUACUGGUGU